UACGGGGGGGGCAAGCGUUGUUCGGAAUUACUGGGCGUAAAGCGCGCGUAGGCGGCUUUUCAAGUCAGACGUGAAAUCCUUAGGCUUAACCUGAGAACUGCGUUUGAUACUGUCGGGCUAGAGUGCGGAAGAGGCGAGUGGAAUUCCUGGUGUAGCGGUGAAAUGCGCAGAUAUCAGGAGGAACACCUAUUGCGAAGGCAGCUCGCUGGGACGUAACUGACGCUGAGACGCGAAAGCGUGGGGAGCAAACAGG
rnacentral:rRNA from 1 species